rnacentral:rRNA from 1 species
AGAGUUUGAUCCUGGCUCAGGACGAACGCUGGCGGCGUGCUUAACACAUGCAAGUCGAACGGUAAGGCCCUUCGGGGUACACGAGUGGCGAACGGGUGAGUAACACGUGGGUAAUCUGCCCUGCACAUCGGGAUAAGCCUGGGAAACUGGGUCUAAUACCGAAUAGGACCACAGGACACAUGUCCUGUGGUGGAAAGCUUUUGCGGUGUGGGAUGGGCCCGCGGCCUAUCAGCUUGUUGGUGGGGUGAUGGCCUACCAAGGCGACGACGGGUAGCCGGCCUGAGAGGGUGUCCGGCCACACUGGGACUGAGAUACGGCCCAGACUCCUACGGGAGGCAGCAGUGGGGAAUAUUGCACAAUGGGCGAAAGCCUGAUACAGCGACGCCGCGUGGGGGAUGACGGCCUUCGGGUUGUAAACCUCUUUCACCAUCGACGAAGGUCCGGGUUUUCUCGGGCUGACGGUAGGUGGAGAAGAAGCACCGGCCAACUACGUGCCAGCAGCCGCGGUAAUACGUAGGGUGCGAGCGUUGUCCGGAAUUACUGGGCGUAAAGAGCUCGUAGGUGGUUUGUCGCGUUGUUCGUGAAAACUCACAGCUCAACUGUGGGCGUGCGGGCGAUACGGGCAGACUUGAGUACUGCAGGGGAGACUGGAAUUCCUGGUGUAGCGGUGGAAUGCGCAGAUAUCAGGAGGAACACCGGUGGCGAAGGCGGGUCUCUGGGCAGUAACUGACGCUGAGGAGCGAAAGCGUGGGGAGCGAACAGGAUUAGAUACCCUGGUAGUCC